rnacentral:rRNA from 1 species
GAUGAACGCUGGCGGCGUGCCUAAUACAUGCAAGUCGAGCGAACAGACGAGGAGCUUGCUCCUCUGACGUUAGCGGCGGACGGGUGAGUAACACGUGGAUAACCUACCUAUAAGACUGGGAUAACUUCGGGAAACCGGAGCUAAUACCGGAUAAUAUAUUGAACCGCAUGGUUCAAUAGUGAAAGACGGUUUUGCUGUCACUUAUAGAUGGAUCCGCGCCGCAUUAGCUAGUUGGUAAGGUAACGGCUUACCAAGGCAACGAUGCGUAGCCGACCUGAUAGGGUGGUCGGCCACACUGGAACUGAGACACGGUCCAGACUCCUACGGGAGGCACCAGUAGGGAAUCUUCCGCAAUGGGCGAAAGCCUGACGGAGCAACGCCGCGUGUGUGAUGAAGGUCUUCGGAUCGUAAAACUCUGUUAUUAGGUAAGAACAAAUGUGUAAGUAACUAUGCACGUCUUGACGGUACCUAAUCAGAAAGCCACGGCUAACUACGUG